AACUUUCAACAACGAUCUCCUGGCUCUCGCAUCGAUGAAGAACGCAGCGAAAUGCGAUAAGUAAUGUGAAUUGCAGAAUUCAGUGAAUCAUCGAAUCUUUGAACGCACCUUGCGCUCUUUGGUAUUCCGAAGAGCAUGCCUGUUUGAGUGUCA
rnacentral:rRNA from 1 species